rnacentral:rRNA from 1 species
GACGGAGGAUGCAAGCGUUAUCCGGAAUCACUGGGCGUAAAGCGUCUGUAGGCGGUCAAAUAAGUCAACUGUCAAAUCUUGAAGCUCAACUUCAAAAUCGCAGUCGAAACUAUUAGACUAGAGUAUAGUAGGGGUAAAGGGAAUUUCCAGUGGAGCGGUGAAAUGCGUAGAGAUUGGAAAGAACACCGAUGGCGAAGGCACUUUACUGGGCUAUUACUAACACUCAGAGACGAAAGCUAGGGUAGCAAAUGGG